rnacentral:rRNA from 1 species
GGAUGCGAUCAUACCAGCACUAAAGCACCGGAUCCCAUCAAAACUCCGAAGUUAAGCGUGCUUGGGCGAGAGUAGUACUAGGAUGGGUGACCUCCUGGGAAGUCCUCGUGUUGCAUCCCUCC